CAUGGAGGGUGAGAAUCCCGUUCGGUUGACCUUAUGACGCUCUACGAUACGCUCUCUAAGAGUCGAGUUGUUUGGGAUUGCAGCUCAAAAUGGGAGGUAAAUUUCUCCUAAGGCUAAAUAUCGGCGAGAGACCGAUAGCGAACAAGUACCGUGAGGGAAAGAUGAAAAGAACUUUGAAAAGAGAGUAAAAUAGUACGUGAAAUUGUUGAAAGGGAAACGAUUGAAGUCAGUCGUACCGACGAGAAAUCAACUUAUCGUGUGCGAACUUGUGGGCGUGCGUGAGUUUCGGCCUCGCUGUUUGCAUGUUUGUGCGUUUUGGGUGUACUUUUUCGUAUGGUAGGCCAACGUCAGUUUCGAUUAUCAUAAAAUGACCGGCGGAAUGUAGCUUCGAUUUCGGUUGAAGUGUUAUAGCCUCUGGUAGAUGUGGUGAUAGAGACUGAGGAUUGCAACGAAUACCCUUUGGGCUAUCCGUCUGGCCUCUGAAAGUUGCUCAGGUGCCGAAAGCGUGCUUACGGUUAUCUAAGAUAACGUUCAACAGGUUAGAACGUGAUUACAUUCGUUAAGGAUGUUGACGUAAUGG
rnacentral:rRNA from 1 species